AGUCGUGAGAACAAAAGGCCAGUGAUACCAUAUUUGAUAAAAUAUGAUUUCAUUUCAUAAGGAAAUAAUGUUACACUUUUAGUAUUUAUAGACUAGUAUCUUGUAACUACUAAGGAAAACAAAUACAACAAACUAACAGAUUUCUUAACCACUAAGUAAUAUCUUUAGAUGGUGUAGUUACAAUAUUGCCCUUUAUAGCUAGCCCAUGUGGUGGAUGUAAUCCCAUUUUCCAGCCCAUUGGGGAUGAAAUUUUUCGUUAGAGCUACAAAUGUGGUAGCUUCAAGGAGGAUAAAGCCUCCAUUGGGAAUGCUCUUACAAACUUACAAUGGCCAUAAGACUAGAAGAGUUUGUUUCUUAGAAAACCUCAGCUUAUGUAAGCCAACAUGACGUGCAUAUUCCAGAGAUCAGCGCGAGGGAAACAUUUGAUUUCUCUGCGUGUUGUCAAGUUGCAGGAAGCCGAGCUGGGAUAAUUAUGGAAGUCAGUAAAAGGGAAAAGCAGACAGGAACAUGCUGCUAUAGUGUUCGGAAUGGGUUAUGUCACAAACUCUUUUAUUAUUCAUGUCAAAAAGGGGAAGGUUUGCACCUUUACUCAAACAAAUGCCUUCUAAAUUUUGUUUCUCUUUAAAGGGAGGCUUGAUUGAUUGGGAUUCUUUGAACCACAACUCCAUUGUCAAUAGCGCAAGAGGAUAUGGUGCUAGAGUUCGUGUUUUCGAAGUUCCAACAGAGUGGAGUGGGCUGCGUCUGAUCUCUGGUUUGAAUUAACCUUGCCGUUUUCGUUAUUAGCACAGUGAAAGGUCGGUAUUUCUAACACUUUUGUUUCCUUUUUUGUGUAUGUUGGUGCAUGUUUCCUCUCCCGUUUUCUUUCUUAGAAAGCUAAACCACCGUUGCUCUCAAGUUGUCUCUCGCCGAUCUCCUCUUCUUUGCACCUCCUCCGAAACACCUCUGUUAAAAUUCAACCCCAAUUGUAUUUUCUCUCUCAUUCUCCGCAUUUCAGAAGAUUUCAGUUUUUCGCCUUUGUAAGCGAUAUGUCUCUGAAAGCACCAUAAUUUUGUGUUUAAUUUUGCUUGUUGUGU